GGGCGGCGACCGGCAAACGGGUGCGGAACACGUACGCAAUCUACCCAGAACUGGGGCAUAGCCCGGGGAAACCCGGAUUAAUACCCCGUAACAUAAUUGAAGUGGCAUCACUUUAUUAUAAAAGCUCCGGCGGUUUUGGAUGAGCGUGCGGCUGAUUAGGUAGUUGGUGCGGGUAACGGCCCACCAAGCCUUCGAUCAGUAACUGGUGUGAGAGCACGACCAGUCACACGGGCACUGAGACACGGGCCCGACUCCUACGGGAGGCAGCAGUAAGGAAUAUUGGUCAAUGGACGCAAGUCUGAACCAGCCAUGCCGCGUGGAGGAUGAAGGCCCUCUGGGUUGUAAACUUCUUUUAUCUGGGACGAAACACUCUUAUUCUUAAGAGCUUGACGGUACCAGAGGAAUAAGCACCGGCUAACUCCGUGCCAGCAGCCGCGGUAAUAC
rnacentral:rRNA from 1 species